rnacentral:rRNA from 1 species
UACGUAGGGGGCAAGCGUUGUCCGGAAUCAUUGGGCGUAAAGAGCGUGUAGGCGGCCCGAUAAGUCCGCCGUGAAAGUCCAGGGCUCAACCCUGGGAUGCCGGUGGAAACUGUCGGGCUAGAGUCCGGAAGAGGCGAGUGGAAUUCCUGGUGUAGCGGUGAAAUGCGCAGAUAUCAGGAGGAACACCAAUGGCGAAGGCAGCUCGCUGGGAUGGUACUGACGCUGAGACGCGAAAGCGUGGGGAGCAAACAGG